rnacentral:rRNA from 1 species
UAGGGAAUCUUCGGCAAUGGGGGGAACCCUGACCGAGCAACGCCGCGUGAGUGAAGAAGGUUUUCGGAUCGUAAAGCUCUGUUGUUAAGGAAGAAAGAGUGUGAGAAUGGAAAGUUCAUACUGUGACGGUACUUAACCAUAAAGGGACGGCUAACUACGUGCCAGUAGCCGCGGUAAUACGUAGGUCCCGAGCGUUGUCCGGAUUUAUUGGGCGUAAAGCGAGCGCAGGCGGUUAGAUAAGUCUGAAGUUAAAGGCAGUGGCUCAACCAUUGUAGGCUUUGGAAACUGUUUAACUUGAGUGCAGAAGGGGAGGGUGGAAUUCCAUGUAUAGCGGUGAAAUGCGUAGAUAUAUGGAGGAACACCAGUGGCGAAGGAGACUCUCUGGUCUGUAACUGACGCUGAGGUUCGAAAGCGUGGGUAGCAAACAGG